rnacentral:lncRNA from 10 species
GCUUUUUUUGAGCCAGUCUUUUCUUCAAGAACACAACCAUCAUAGUUUGAAUUCUGUGGCAUGUUAAGCCUGAAGAUGCAAAUAUUGAGGGGUUGGGGGAGAAGAUGCGUAAUAAUUGUCUUCAGAUAUUUGACCUGCCACCCUGUUGAUGUAGGAUUAAACUUCUAUAGGAAUAUAGAGCCAUUGGAGCAGUGAUUCUGAAAGAGGGGCAUGUGGAUCUCACUCUGUCACCCAGGCUGGAGUACAGUGGUGCGAUCUCAACUUACUGCAACCUCCGCCUCCCGGUUCAAGCGAUUCGCCUGCCUCUGCCUUGU